rnacentral:rRNA from 1 species
GCAGGCUGCAACUCGCCUGCACGAAGUCGGAAUUGCUAGUAAUCGUAGGUCAGCAUACUACGGUGAAUACGUUCCCGGGCCUUGUACACACCGCCCGUCAAACCAUGAGAGUUGGCAACACCCGAAGUCGGUAGUCUAACCGCAAGGAGGACCGCCGCCGAAGGUGGGGUUGAUGAUUAGGGUUAAGUCGUAACAAGGUAAC